rnacentral:piRNA from 1 species
GGACUCGUCCAACGACUAUAAAGAGGGC